UACGUAGGGGGCAAGCGUUGUCCGGAUUUAUCGGGCGUAAAGAGCGUGUAGGCGGCCAGACAGGUCCGUUGUGAAAACUCGAGGCUCAACCUCGAGACGUCGAUGGAAACCGUCUGGCUAGAGUCCGGAAGAGGAGAGUGGAAUUCCUGGUGUAGCGGUGAAAUGCGCAGAUAUCAGGAAGAACACCUAUGGCGAAGGCAGCUCUCUGGGACGGUACUGACGCUGAGACGCGAAAGCGUGGGGAGCGAACAGG
rnacentral:rRNA from 1 species